UAGAUAUGAUGUCAAAUUUUGUAAAAAGGUUCAACGCUAUCGUAUAGUUGAGGCGGCUAAGGUGUUAAGUUAACCGUUGCCGUUUUAUACGAUUAAUCUGAAUCCUAUGCGAGAAAACAAGACUUUGCGGGUUUUUUUUUUUUUUGGUCGUAAAGUUUCAAUGGUAACUCCAAUCAAAACAAGAGACGUUUCGGUCGAGAUUUGAAGGAGAACACAGAGCUGGAAGUAAGAGCGAAUAGGAGCAAGGGAAGGAGUUUAGAUGAGUCUUACUUGUUUUUGUCGUAAAAUCUCGACGAAAACUCCGAUUGAGACGAAACAAAAAGCGUUUUGAUCGGGAUUCAAAAGAGAACACAAAGGUGGAGCUUUUUGAGGCCUGAUAGGUUGCAAUGUAGCGAGCUAGGGGUCUGACAGGUCGCUACGUAGCGAGUGGAAGCAAGCCAAGAAGAGGCCUACUUGUUUUUGUCGUAAAAUCUCAACGGAAACUCAGAUUAAGACGAAACGAAAAACGUUUUGAUGAGGAUUCAAAAUAGAACCAAACGGAGGACCAUUCCGAGGCCAGACAGGUCGCUAUGUCGCGAGUGAAGGUCUGACAGGUCGCUACGUAGCGAGUGGAAGCGAGCCAAGAAGAGUCCUACUUGUUUUCGUCGUAAAAUCUCAACGGAAACUCCGAUUGAGACGAAACGAAAAGCGUUUCGAUGAGGAUUCAAAAGAGAACCCAAAGGAGGACCUUUCUGAGGCCUUACCGGUCGCUACAUAGCGAGUGAAGUUCAGACAGGUCGCUACGUAGGGAGUGGAAGCGAGCCAAGAAGAGUCCUACUUAUUUUCGUCGUAAAAUCUCAACGGAAACUCCGAUUGAGAC